rnacentral:rRNA from 1 species
AACGAACGCUGGCGGCAGGCCUAAAACAUGCAAGUCGAACGAUCUAGCAAUAGAUAGUGGCGCACGGGUGAGUAACACGUGGGAAUAUCCCUUUCACUACGGAACAACGUCGGGAAACUGACGCUAAUACCGUAUAAUGUCUCCGGACCAAAGAUUUAUCGGUGAAAGAUUAGCCCGCGUCUGAUUAGCUAGUUGGUGAGGUAACGGCUCACCAAGGCAACGAUCAGUAGCUGGUCUGAGAGGAUGAUCAGCCACACUGGAACUGAGACACGGUCCAGACUCCUACGGGAGGCAGCAGUUAGGAAUAUUGGACAAUGGGGGCAACCCUGAUCCAGCCAUGCCGCGUGUGUGACGAAGGCCUUAGGGUUGUAAAGCACUUUCGUCUACGAAGAUAAUGACAGUAGUAGAAGAAGAAGCUCCGGCUAAAUUCGUGCCAGCAGCCGCCGUAA